CCUCCUCCUUUUUUAAACAACCAAAAAAAGCGUAUUUAUUUUGAGAGAGAGAGAGAGAGAGAGUGCAGGAGGAGGGGCAGAGAGAGGAGAGAAACAGAAUCCCAAGCAGGCUCUGCCCUGUUAGCGCCACCCCGUGGUGGCAGGGCUGGAACGCACCAACGGUGAGAUGGUGACCCCCCGCAGAAAUCAAGAACGGAUGCCUGACUGACUGAGCCUGAUUUAAUCCAGGCGCCGCAUCACCCCUUUUUAUACAUGAGCAGUGCCUCCAAGGGAUCAAGGUCACUUGGCUCUGGGUGACCAAGUCCAGCCGUGAACACGAACAGGGGGUUCAGAGUCAUUUGUCUGCACCCUCACUGAGCCCUGCACUAACCAUCACAGGCGUUGUCCUGGGUUGGGGCUCCCCCUGUGCCUCCAGGUCACUCUUCUGGGGUCGGGGCCACAGACCCCAUUUUCAAUGAGGCUCUGAGAAGCCACCACAGGAGUUUGUUGGUCACAGGGCUUUGUGUGACAUAGCCCCAACUGUGGGUUUGAACUCAAGUCAAUCUGACCCAAAGGUUGUGGCCUCUGAUCCCAGCCUUGGAUGUGAGGAUGUCCUGGGUGGGAGCCAUGGAGAGGGGCACUGGUGGCAAGGGGCUCUGAGGGGCGGGCUUCCUGGGGGAGGAAGGCUCUAGGGAGGCUGGAGUAGGGUGACGGGUGCACACUGGGGAGGGCGUCUGGACCAGUUCAUGCAAUGCUCUGGAUAUCAGGUAAGGAGUCGGGGGUCACCGCAGGUUGGGGAGGGAAGGGGACACAAUUCAGGCAAACCUUUUGGUUUUUUUUAAGUUUAUUUAUUUUGAGAGAGCAAGAGAGCGUGUGUGAUCAGGGAAGGGCAGAGAGAGGAGAGAGAAUCCCAAGCAGUCUCCACGCUGACAGCUUGGGGCUUGAACUCACGAACUGUGAGAUCAUGCUCUGAGCCAGUAUCGGGAGUUGGAUGCUUAACGUACUGAGCUACCCAGGCGCCCCCGGGCAGUCUUAUAAGAGCCACAGCAUCCUUGAUUUGGAGGGAGUUUGGUGGGCAUGUUAUUUGGCCCCACUCAAGCAUGGAUCCCCAAAACCAACCAGGGAGGAGGAGGCUGCCUCAGUUUCCUCCUGUGUAAUGGGGGCUCUGGGGGUCAUCUGCUGUCUCCUUCCAGGCUGGGGGCACGCUGGUUGGAGGGCCCAGACCUAGCCACGUCUCAGAAGCCACAUCUCACCAACUGCCCAAGAGGAAUUGGUGUCCCAGCCAUAAUCUCAUUUGGCCCUCACCCCAGGGCCUCAGAUGACCUGUCCAACAUCCCACAGAAAACUUCGAAGCCCCCCAGACUGAUGGGCCCUGACAACAUUGGUGCCUGGGGCUCAGACCCGAUCCUGCCAGUCAGGGGCUGAGGACCGCUGGGACUGUCUCUGAGCCCUCUCACCUCUGUCUGCCAGGCUGACUGUACGUGGAAUCCAGGCUGCCUGGAUCCCCGGUGGCUGGCCGCGCAGACGCUCGGAUGUGUAGGUGAAAACGCCCCGGUGAGGACUUCGUGCACGUCAC